UUGAGAUGUAAAGUAUAAAUUUUUUUUUAUACUAAAGGGCAUCAUCUGAGUUCCUGCUCCUUGCCACUAUACCCAUAAACUGGCUUACCUUGUGGGCCAGAAUAGUCACCAAGAACCAAAUAAAUCACAGUCCAACUCUACUACCUUUGAGCUGCAAAGAAAGAAAGACCUGAUGUGAUGUUGAAAACCACAGUUUGUACUUUGUUUGUUUAUCAUUUCUGCCAGCAUUGGAAAUGUUGGCCUUGUCCAACUCAUUGUGUUAAAUCCCUAAACAAAUUAUCAGGUAUGCAAAUGACUGGAGUCUGUAUGCCAGACUGGAGUCUGACAUCAUUGGCCUGUACAAGGUACUGGAUGAGCUAAUCCUGGCCAGAGGUGACCUGGAGAUGCAGAUUGAGAACCUGACUGAAGAGCUGGCCUAUGUGAAGAAGAACCACAAGGAGGUCAGAAGUUGUUUCUUUCCUCCAAGACCCCAAAAUUACAGUUUCAAGUUUACAAGUCUGGAGUUAAAAUAUGUCCUGUUAAAGUGGUCACUUGUUUUAGAUGUGCCUGUGUGAACAUUGCUGCUGGUGCUGUUGAUAAUGGUUCUGACUAAGGU
rnacentral:lncRNA from 1 species